GCUGGGGUGGCGGAGCAGCUAACGCACGUGACUGUAAAUCACGCGUCCUCACGGACUUCGGGGGUGCAAGUCCCUCCCCCAGCA
rnacentral:tRNA from 1 species